rnacentral:rRNA from 1 species
UGAGGAAUCUUCCGCAAUGGGCGAAAGCCUGACGGAGCAACGCCGCGUGAAUGAAGAAGGCCUUCGGGUCGUAAAGUUCUGUCUUUUGGGAAGAAGUCUCUUUGGGUAAAUAAUCCAUAGAGGUGACGGUACCAGAGGAGGAAGCUCCGGCUAACUACGUGCCAGCAGCCGCGGUAAUACGUAGGGAGCAAGCGUUGUCCGGAAUUACUGGGCGUAAAGGGCGCGUAGGCGGGUAAUUAAGUCAGAUGUGAAAGCUCCGGGCUCAACUUGGAGAGUGCAUUUGAAACUGGUGAUCUUGAGGGCAGGAGAGGAAAGUGGAAUUCCUAGUGUAGCGGUGGAAUGCGUAGAUAUUAGGAGGAACACCAGUGGCGAAGGCGACUUUCUGGACUGUACCUGACGCUGAGGCGCGAAAGCAUGGGGAGCGAACA